rnacentral:rRNA from 1 species
CAGUCGCCGCGGGAAUACGUAGGUGGCAAGCGUUAUCCGGAAUUAUUGGGCGUAAAGCGCGCGUAGGCGGUUUUUUAAGUCUGAUGUGAAAGCCCACGGCUCAACCGUGGAGGGUCAUUGGAAACUGGAAAACUUGAGUGCAGAAGAGGAAAGUGGAAUUCCAUGUGUAGCGGUGAAAUGCGCAGAGAUAUGGAGGAACACCAGUGGCGAGGGCGACUUUCUGGUCUGUAACUGACGCUGAUGUGCGAGAGCGUGGGGAGCGGACAGGAUUAGAUACCCCUGUAGUCCCUGUCUCUUAUAC